rnacentral:rRNA from 1 species
AUUGAACGCUGGCGGCAUGCCUUACACAUGCAAGUCGAACGGCAGCACGGACUUCGGUCUGGUGGCGAGUGGCGAACGGGUGAGUAAUGUAUCGGAACGUACCUUUCAGUGGGGGAUAACGUAGCGAAAGUUACGCUAAUACCGCAUAUUCUGUGAGCAGGAAAGCAGGGGAUCGCAAGACCUUGCGCUGAUUGAGCGGCCGAUAUCAGAUUAGCUAGUUGGUGGGGUAAAGGCCUACCAAGGCGACGAUCUGUAGCGGGUCUGAGAGGAUGAUCCGCCACACUGGAACUGAGACACGGUCCAGACUCCUACGGGAGGCAGCAGUGGGGAAUUUUUGGACAAUGGGGGCAACCCUGAUCCAGCCAUGCCGCGUGAGUGAAGAAGGCCUUC